rnacentral:rRNA from 1 species
CAUGAAGCUGGAAUCGCUAGUAAUCGCGGAUCAGAAUGCCGCGGUGAAUACGUUCCCGGGUCUUGUACACACCGCCCGUCACACCAUGGGAGUCGGAAAUGCCCGAAGUCUGUGACCGAACCGAGAGGGAGGAGCAGCCGAAGGCAGGUCGGAUGACUGGGGUGAAGUCGUAACAAGGUAAC